UGCGGUGAAUCCCCCUCAGCGGCGGGGCUAGGUCAGUAGAAGUGAUUGUUUAGCGACUCAGGAUUCUCGCCUUACUGAGUCACCGGGAGGCACCCGGCACCGCA
rnacentral:ncRNA from 1 species